AAUACACAUGCCAGGAUGCCAUUUUUGAAAAAAUUUUGCUUUUGUAUACCGCUGCGAUAUAUAUGCCUGCUCCUGGCUUAUUUCAUGCUGGUGCCUCCCUUAGUCAAUUUCGUGUGGCUGAUACUUUUGCGCAAAUUCAUCUGCACUCGCCUCAUAACACUCUGGAUCUUUGCCGACUUCUUUAAUGUACUCGCAAGUUUUCUGCUUAUCAGCGCUAUUUAUCUGGUAAGGAAAGCAGCAACAUUCUGCCCCUGCACAUCGUAUCGAAGCUGAUUGGUCUGAUUGUGGAAUUGAUUUGCCACUUGCUCAUCGCGUCCGUGGAAAUAAGUCAACCCUUGUCGAUGAUCAGUUCCGGGCUCUCCAUCGGAUGCACCUGUCUGGACGUACUGGUAGCACUCAGAUUCUACCAGCAAGUGGAACCAGAGGACUAGCCUAGCGCAUGUCCUGGUUACCCAUUAACCCGCAACGGUAGUUCGACCGGCCGCGGUUUUGACCAGGCCUAAUCACAGCGUGUAGCAUUUUGUGGUGCGAUUAAACGCAGAUUUAUUGGGAAACUGUUGCUCAAUCUCCACGUGGCGCGGCAUAAAUCGUGUGCAAUUGUCACCAGAUUCGCCGACUGCCAUGCGCCGAACCACGUUUAAUUAUCGCCCCGGCAUAGCCCGGCGAGUUACAUGCGUGCUAAUUGACUGAGUCGCAGAAAGCGCGCGAAAGGCCACUGUCGCAGUCUGCAUAUACAAAUGUCCCAGUCGCAGUCGCAGUCGCCAGUAUCCCAGUGUCCAAGUUUCCAAGAGUCCAAGUGUCCAGUCCAGAUGAUAACCGCCACGAUGAAAACGCACGCUGGGCCCAAUGAAAAUUAUGUUGCAAUUGCUGAGAGUGGUGCCCGCUGGCUGGUCACUGAACCAGCCACUGCUCGAUCGCAAGCCUUAAUUAAUUUCGUUGAUUAAUUGAAAGUGGGCUCUGCUCUGGUCUGCGGUUGGAUUUAUUUUGGUUUUAUUUCGCGUUACACUCGUACGUACGAGUAUUUUUGGCAGUGCAGCACAGCACAAUGGUCCCAAAUUCGAUUUUUUUUUGCAUAAAGCUCAAAAAUGUAUGAAAAGAUUUUUUUUAAAUAACGAAAUAUUCGGAAAGAUAUCC